rnacentral:rRNA from 1 species
GACGAACGCUGGCGGCGUGCUUAACACAUGCAAGUCGAACGGAAAGGCCCUGCUUUUGUGGGGUGCUCGCGUGGCGAACGGGUGAGUAACACGUGAGUAACCUGCCCUUGACUGUGGGAUAACUUCAGGAAACUGGGGCUAAUACCGGAUAGGAGCUCCUGCUGCAUGGUGGGGGUUGGAAAGUUUCGGCGGUUGGGGCUGGACUCGCGGCUUAUCAGCUUGUUGGUGGGGUAGUGGCUUACCAGGGCUUUGACGGGUAGCCGGCAUGAGAGGGUGACCGGCCACAUUGCUCCUGCGGGACGGAGCAGACGCCAAUGUUGGGCAGCAGUGGGGAACAUUGUACAACGGGGCGAAGUGUGAGGCAACGGCGCCGCGUUCGUGAUGACGUCUUUCGGGUUGGAAACCGCUUUCGCUUGUGACCAAGCGUGAGUGACGGUAACGGGUAAAGAAGCACCGGCUAACUACGUG